rnacentral:misc_RNA from 1 species
GUGAAUCAUCGAAUUUUUGAACGCAAAUUGCACUCUCUGGUAUUCCGGAGAGUAUGCCUGUUUGAGGGUCAGUUUAAAUAAAAAUCGGUGUGGUUGCUGCCUUUCGUGGUGACGCACCGGAUUUGGGUCGUCUUGCCUUCGGUUAAGUGACCUAAAAUUUUGCAUGAUUUUUUUCGACGGUAUUAAAAUAAUUUUCGUUACGUUUCCAAUACAGAUU